UUAUCCUUCCCUCCACUCGCCACCCUCUGUCCGUCCGGGCUCCAAUCCGUUGCGUACACCUGAUGUUACGGAAAAGACAGUUAGUUCUGCUGGGAGGAGGAGUCACUCCUGCCUCUCUCAAACACCUUGGCUCAAUCAAACAGCUCACCUCAUCUGCAUGGCCAGGAAGAUCGAUGGCCAGUUUCUUUGUCUUGGCAUCCCAGACCUUGAGGGUGCUGUCGCUGCUGCCGCUCACCAGCAAGCGGCUGUCGGCCGACCAGGCGAUCUGGUACACGGCCGAGACGUGCCCCCGCAGCGACGUCAGGUACCUGGGGCAGAGCACAAGCUGUUAGAGCAGCACAGCUUGUUCCAAACCUGCCCUUGUCUUCCUGUUUCUUCUCCACCCGUGAGCAAACCAGCCCAGUCACAAGACACUCAGCACACCCCAGCCAGUCAACUGCGAUACAGAGUCCACAGGUUGUUCAGUCCAUCUAAAAACCCUCGCAGGUGGGCUCAGAACCUUCUGGAGGAUGACUCUUCAUCUCACCUCAUCUGCCAAGAAACUCUUACCCAGCAGGCAAUGUUAUAGCCUUACUGAACAGAUGUGUUCUUCCUUUUUCUGGCCAAGCAGCCUGGAUUUAGAGGGACCUUUAAAAUUACUGACAGGAAUGCCAAGCUCACGAGCAUAAAGGUUGCUUUGCAGGGAAGGACUGCUGCCCUGAGAGCUCACCAGUACUCCAGCUGAAGGCUAAAAGCUGGAUUCCAGGAGCAUCCAAACACCAACAGCACCACUUGUAACUGCAAGAAUUUGCAUCAAGAACAAGCUGUUCUCUGGCACAGGAACUGUUUAAACUGGGUCAGUCUACAGUGCCCAACACACACAUCUUCAGGAGAUCAGCCGAGUGGAACAUCCCAUCCCACCACAGCUCAGAGAACUCACCCUCCAGCAGACUGUGUGUGCCACAGGUGCCAGGCAGUGCUGUGGCUGGGUGGCAGUGGCACUGUACACACACAGCCAAGCACAAGAAGACCCCCUGACACAAGAAGAGUCAGACAAGGGACUUCCCAGGGCAGAAAAAGACAGAGGCAGCAGAAUGACUUUGCAUGACUUCAGGCUGCUGAGAUGCUGAACACACCAGGGGGCUGCUGGCAAUGACACUGGAGCCCACCCCUGCAGACCCUAUACUAGCACCACCUCUGUAACAGAACAAAACAACUCACUUUCCUGUCCUACCAUCCCAGAGCUUUAUGGACUUGUCAAAGGAAGCACUGGCUAUUAUCCGGGUGUCUGGCGAGAAGAGGACUUGGUUGAUCAAUGCCUGGUGGCCUGUCAUUCUCUCCAGCGGCUUCUUGUCUUCUGCUGGUCUCCAGAGAAACAGGGUGAAAUCAUCUGACCCUGAGACGAGCCUUUCCGGUUCCUGGCCCUGAGAAAGGGAUGAAAGAGCCCAAGUCUUGUAUGGGCCAGGUGUGGAGAGCUCAGAAGCACACCAGUGUUGGGGCCCAGAGCCCAUUGUGCACGUUUACUGCUUCCACCAGUGGCCGUGUUAGAAACGACAGCAGGGACAAAAGGGACUCACCCGGACUUGGUUGUACCUUUGCUGAGCCUUGUCCUUCAGUUCUGCCACUGAGAAAGGGAAAAGGAGAGGGGAAGAGAGAUAUGCAAUCCGGAGAAAGGAAACUUUAUAAGCCUGAGAUGCCAAUUCCAAUCCUGGCUCCGUGGGCCAAGCAGACGCAUUUGUGACUUCUCACCCACCUCCUCUUUGCCAAGGGCAAUUUGGGAGCAAAAGCCCUUGGAAACAGAGCGACCUUCCCAUCCCCCAGACUGCUCAGCCCUGGCAAGGGUGAGGAAGAUCACAGCUGUCAGCAUGACCGACAUGAGCACAGGACCUGCUCCCAGCUCCCAAGGUUGUUUGGCUCGUGGUAACAUGGUAUCAGGCCUCCCCUUUAUCCUCCCCACUGCCUCCCCCAGCCUGCAAGAGGGUGCUGCACUCACGGGAGCCGCUGACGUCCUGUGGGUUGAUCGUGGCCUCGGCGGGUUCGAAGGCCCCGGUGCGGAGGACGUAGUCGGUGCUCAGGGCCAUGGUGUUCACCCAGUGAGCGUGGCCCUGCAGGCUGCGGCACAGCACCCCCUGGGCACACAAACACCCCUCAGGGAGGGAGGGCAGCACACAGCCAGGCUGCCCAGCACCCACCAGACCCACCGGGCUGCAAGGACCAACGCCAAACUUUCCCAACCCUCUCGCCCAAGCAGCAGCCAGGACUGUGGCAGGGAAGAAAUGACACAGUUGAGCUUCAGGAAUCAGUUUCCCACAGGAGCUUGAGGACACCCACCAGCACAGGUUGCCUCCAGGAUGUUUCCAGCUUUUAGCCCCACUUAAUGCUCUUAGAGAUGAAAACAUUGCACAACAGCCACCCCUUCCAAAUUGUGUCAAGCAACAGGUUUUGAUAGGUCAAGAAGAUACAGCACCUGCUCUGCAGCUCUGUUUUCCAGGGCACAAGCUGUGCCAGGAAGAGCAGACAAAGCUACCACACAUUGUGCCCAGCCCCCUUGGCCAGCAGCCCCAGGGCUGCUGCCUCACUUACAUCCUGGCUCCUCCAGACUUUGAUGGUCCUGUCCUGGGAGGAGGAGUAGAUCAAGCCAUCGCCCCCCCACUUCACACACGUCACCGACUGCGUGUGGCUCGUGAGGAUUUUGUCACACCUGCCCAUCAGUGUGUCCCAGAUGCGGACGCUGCUGUCCUUGGAGGCACUUGCCAGGUAACGACACUCUGGGUUUCUGGGGAAAAAAAACAAAUCCAUUUGUGCAGCGCACACAGCUCCUCCACCAAGCUCUUUCCCCACCACCCCCAGCAGAUUCAAGGGUCCAGAAGUCAAUAAAAUACAACUGUCUUUUGGCUUAAGAUCUGCAAAAGGUCAGGCAGGGGCAGAGCACUGACUUACAGAGACCAAAGUCUCACAGAGCAAGGGAGAGGCAGACAAAUGCUUCCUCCAAACCAACUCCUAGGCUGCACACUGGAGGCACCAAUCCAGGAUAAACCUGGCACCUGAGCCCUUGGCAGUGACCUUGUUUGCACAGGGCACAGCUUUAACCAGCUGGCUUAAAGAGGGCACCCCAAAACUGGCACCUUCCCCAGGCACUGGCUGGGGAGAGCCCUGGGCAGGGGACCAGCCUCACCAAGGCUGUGCAGACCAGUGGCAUUGGGAAUGCACUGGAUGCUCCCCUGCCUAUGCCAUGCUUAUCUCCAGCCUGUGGACAGAGUGCUCCUGUGCUGGCAGGACCGAAAGGAGCAACGUCCAUCCAUGUGGCUCAGGGGGCAAAUUUAACACACCUGGAAGCAGCUGGCACAACCCAUCAAGGACAGGGGAGCCACAACCCUCUGUCCUUUGCACAACACCUUCAUCACUCAGCCUGGUGCCAUGAGGAGCAGUGAGGAAGAACAGCCCCCCGUUGCACUGGGACUGGCUGGAGAAAAGAGAAGUGCAGCCCUGCCAGGGUCAUGUCUCUCCUCUCCAUUUCCUCAUGCUCCUUUACAAUCAUUUUUCGCUAAUCCAGUUAAUUGUUUGCAAAUAGCUGGAGCUUCCUACUGGCAAAUUCAAUUUGCAGGGCCCUGCACUGAAGGGACCCUUUUUCUUCCUUUUUUUAUUUAUUUCUAUAACGUCUUGGAUUACUGGCUAUAACUGCCCCCUCCACCCACCUCUCCCAGAGGGAGCUUUAGCUGAUCAAAGGGAUAAGGGGAUUGCACAGUUAAUCAUCCCUCAUGAUAAACAAACAGGAUGACAGAGGCCAGCAGGAUCAGGAGAGCAGGAGGGAAUGCUCUGCAGAGCCUGCACUUGGGGACCUCCAGGCUUCCCUGCUCCCAGCUCAGCAUGCCAUGGAGGAGCACACCAAAUAUUUGUCCAGCACCACAAAAGCAGUGCUUUCCAGAGGCAGGUAUGUCUUUUACACAGGGGAAAAGAGGCACAGCCUGACAGUGACUUCAUGGCUGGGGCUCCUGGCUCUCCCAGCUGGACACAUUUUUCCCAGCCCACCUUGGGAGGCGUUCUCCUGCACAUGCUUUUUCCCAUAACAGGAGAAAGGCAAACAGGAGCAAUGCCCUUCAGGUCAGGCUGCUCUUUUCCAUAGGAGUCAAGGGGAAGGGCUGGGCUGGCCCUUCACUUACAUGUGGAGCGGUUCCCAGCACAGACACGUGAUCCAUUUGGAGUGGCCAGACAGCACCCGGCCGAUCUGGCUGCCCGUGGCUGGGUCCCAGAGAAAUAUCUGUCCAAGAGAGGAAGCGAGAGGGUCACGUCAGGCCACAGACAUCAUGUGAAUCCCAGGGACGCUGGAGCUCCGUUUAGGAAGCAAAGGUGUCCCUGGUGUCCGCUGAAACUGGCAGAGGCAGGAGGAGCAAGGGAAGGGGGCUGGAUGCCUUUCCAGAUCCCUGCAGCCGUCAGCUGACACCCAAAAGAAUGAGAGCUGACUGCCCUCCUCUCUGCCUACAGCGCUGCUGCUACAAAUUAUCUGACUAAAUUAUCUGACUCAACUCAAAACGGAUACAGGUCCCCAAAAAGCCACCCCGUGCCAGAGACUCAGUGAGCGUUUGCAGAGCGCAACGAAAGCCGCAGCGCGCUAAGUGCUGCUUAUUAUCAGAUUCUGUGGGUGGGACACAUGCCGGUUUUCUCUUGUUGAUUCUCUCUCUACAUAAAUGUUCAUCUAAAGAGCCAAGGUAUUAGUCAUCUCCUACUUGAGAACCUGGGAAAAAUAGGGAAAUAGAGGACAAGCAGCUCCCUGGGUUCGAUUAAAGCCAGACCAGCACCGAACCACGGCAGAACCAUCCUGGUCCAGCCUGUUUCCUUGGGGACAGAAUCACAACCUUGGCAGUUCCACGGCUGCUCUCACUGCUCCCAGAUUGUUCGAAGGUCAGAGUGAGCCACUGCCCCUCUACGGCUCAGCAAGUUCCUGACUCGCAUUCAGCUGAGUGCUCCCGCUUCCCGAGGCAUUUCUGCACCUUAAGCACAUACAUUCUUCCCCACAGCCAGGGCAGAGCCGCCCUCACAUUCCUACAAGAGGGAAUUUGGCUGUAUCUGCGUGAGAACGCUGCAAAACAGGCCGCUGCUGCAUGUCUGGGUCACACUAACAGCAGCCCUGGACUCGCUGGGCAAUAACCAUUCUCAAUCCAGACAUCUCCCUUGUGAUAGAGCCGCCUGUCAAGGAUCACAUCUAGAGCCUGGACUCUUUCCUGCACGGAGGGAAAAGCAUCUGCCACAAGACAGCAGGACUCAGCAACAAGAGGUCCACAAGGUGACAAAGCCAGAGCUCUGCCUGGCACAGAGUCUGGAGACACUACUUGCAAUACCACAACGCAUCCACACAUAAAGCUCCUCUGGGGAACAGGAAUCCUGCUCAAAACAACUGCAUACACUCCUCACAGCCCAGGAAACACAAGCCUUCGCCCCUAAUCCCUCACAGCCCUUCACCAAGUUUGGUUUGAGUUCAGAAUGGGGCUGCAGAGGGUCUCCAAGCUCCCACAGACCCCCAGUCCCACACAGAGGGAGCCAACACGUACCUGGCCGUUCUUGCAGCCCGAGGCCAGUUUCUUGCCAUCCGGUGACCAGGCGAUGCUGAGCACCCAGUGCCGGUGACCUGGCAGAGAGAGCACGAGUGGGCAUGAGUGGAGAGCUGUGAUUAUCCUCAGUGUCCCAGCAGGAAGCCACUCCAAGGAAGUACAAGACAGGGGGAACCCCCUGUGUUCCGCCUGGCCAGCCCCUCUUCUACCACUUCGUUAAAGAGAGCCCCUCCCUCCCCAAGCCACGGUUCUCCUACACAGCUCAGGCAGCACCAGGCUCUGCUCUGCUUGUCCCCCAAGCAGGCAGGGGGUCCCUGAGGGACACCCCACACCCACCUUUGGCCGUGAACUGCGGCGUCUCCGUGCUGAGAUCCCAGAAGCGGACGGUGGUGUCUCCAGAGCCGCUCGCCAGGUACCUGGGAGAGGAUGAAGACCCCGGCUCAGCACAGUGUCCCCAGGAGAGGACAAGAGCAGCUGCUGCCUCGCCCCGAGCCCCCCGCCUGCAGGCAGCCCCUCGUACUUUCCGGUGGGGCUGAAGGCCACGGAGAUGACGGCCUCGGUGUGCCCCUCGAGGGAGCUGGUGCAGCGCGUCACCGCCCGCACCCGGAACACCGCCUGUGGCUGGUAGAUGAUGUCCAGCACCUUCUCCGUCUCCACGCUCUGCCCCGCCAGGGUCUUCUCCAGCGACGCCACAAUCUCGGCAUCGUGGACGAAGAAGGCCAGAGGCACCGGCUCAUCCUGCGGGAGAAAGGGCAGAUUUAGCAGCAAGAUCUCUGUACCACAUGGAGGAGCAGCAGCAGAACAUCUAUUCCUUCUCACCAGGAUUUGCACCUUCAGCCUCACAAGCCACAUCAGGCAGAGUUAAACCAUAUCCUGCAGACACAGUGAAGCUGCAUUUUCCAAACUCCAAAGGACACCAUGUGUGAGCAAGAAACUGCAGGAGCAAUUUGUUGCAGAUAAGGAAUAACCACCAUGCACAAGGAGGAGCAGCACAACUCACACCACUGAAGAGAUGACAUGGAACCAGCUCCACAAAGCCAGAGCCUCACGACUCCUCAGUCAUGAUGGAUACCACGGAAAUGUUCUGGAAACACACUGCCAAUACUUAAUUCUCUCACAAACAGUAUUGCUUAAUCAUCACCAAACCUCAGGCAAGCAACUGAUGGGGAGAUAACAGUUUAAAAAGCUGUGAUGGAAGAGUGUUUGGGGGAAUGUUUUAAAAAAUAUUAUUAUUUUUUUAAAGGAAGCUCCGAAAGGAAGCGAAUGAGGAAAUCUGUUUAAAACAAAAAUAAAGGAACCCAAGCAGUACAUAAACAUAAUACAUAAACAGGAUGGCAUAAACAGGGGGAAAAAAUGAAGUGGUGAUAUUGGAGAACGUGAUCUACCACAGAAACCUUCUCCCACUGCUCCAGGCGAGGAUUAUUGACUACAAAUAGGUCAUCCCUGAACAGCACUGUGGAGUCCUUCCAAACACAACCACAACUCACAGCCCAGCACAAUCACCACAUUUACAUCACAAAACACAAGCAGAUUAAAAAAAAAAACAACAAAAAACACAAAACCCAACCUCUUCCUAUCCUGACUUAGGGAUUUUAAAUAUUUUAAAGGGAAACUCCAGUCUCCGGUUACAUAAUUGCCCUGCCCCGGUGGCUGCAGCGCUGCCUGCCAGCCCUCCCUGCCAGGAGAAAAAGCUGCAGGGCUGCAAACUGGCAACUGGGGGUUUAAAAUUUAAGCUACCAGCGAGCACGUCCUCUGACAGAGACAUUUAAGUGUCCAUUAAAAGCGGUGGAUUCUUCACAAACUGACCUCCUGCCACCCGGAAGCAGCUGUGACAGAGUAACCAGCCUUUUACAUAACUGGGAGCUGAUGGGCGGGAGAGAAAUCCCUGAGAAAAUCUGCGUGUCUGAGGUAGCACUGAGGCACAAAGGGAACGGAGCAACCUCUACACAGCACUACAAACCCUUCUCUUUCCAAAAUUAUUCCAGUAUUUCAUCAAACCUGUUCCUAACUAUCAGUAGUAAUUCCCGAGUUUCACACAAGAGCCCUCCAUAAGCCUAUUUUCAGUCUAAAUAGGCCUGUUCCUUCUUACCAACUAUUCAGUUCCUCUCUAAUUACCUACUUACUACUGGUAAUACAAACUCCAGGUUCCAGCUCCAAACCCCUUACACACAGGCUGCCUCUGUCCCCAGCAGCUUGGAGCCCAACAAAGGAAUGUCCUUAACUCCAGAGGACAAAGCAAACUCCUAUCUAUGGCAACAUCAAAUUUCAGGGAGUGAGGUUUCACUGCGUGAAUUUACUUUCACUUCCCUCAAAAAGCGGAUGUCCCGUGGUGUCUGUG